GAUGUUGCGGCUCAACGGUAGAGCGCUCACCUAGCAUGUGAGAGGCACUGGGUUCGAUCCUCAGCACCACA
rnacentral:tRNA from 1 species